AACCAGGACUUUUACUUUGAAAAAAUUAGAGUGUUCAAAGCAGGCUUAUGCCGUUGAAUAUAUUAGCAUGGAAUAAUAAGAUAGGACCUUGGUACUAUUUUGUUGGUUUGCGCACCGAGGUAAUGAUUAACAGGGACAGUUGGGGGUAUUCGUAUUCCAUUGUCAGAGGUGAAAUUCUUGGAU
rnacentral:rRNA from 1 species